GAUGAAUGCUGGCGGCGUGCCUAAUACAUGCAAGUCGAGCGGUAAGGCCCUUCGGGGUACACGAGCGGCGGACGGCUGAGUAACGCGUGGGAACAUGCCCCAAAGUGAGGGAUAACGCACCGAAAGGUGUGCUAAUACCGCAUAUGGUCUUCGGAUUAAAGGAUUUAUCCGCUUUGGGAGUGGCCCGCGUACGAUUAGAUUGUUGGUGAGGUAACGGCUCACCAAGUCGACGAUCGUUAACUGGUCUGAGAGGAUGAUCAGUCAGACUGGAACUGAGACACGGUCCAGACUCCUACGGGAGGCAGCAGUAAGGAAUCUUCCACAAUGGGCGAAAGCCUGAUGGAGCAACGCCGCGUGCAGGAUGAAGGCCCUCGGGUCGUAAACUGCUUUUAUGAGUGAAGAAUAUGACGGUAACUCAUGAAUAAGCACCGGCUAAACUACGUGCCAGCAGCCGCGGUAAU
rnacentral:rRNA from 1 species